rnacentral:rRNA from 1 species
GACGAACGCUGGCGGCGUGCCUAACACAUGCAAGUGGAGCGACGAACCGGGCUUCGGCCCGGGGCCAAGCCGCGAACGGGUGAGUAACACGUGGGUAACCUGCCCUGAUGAUUGGGACAACCCGAGGAAACUCGGGCUAAUACCGAAUGUGCCCUCCGACCAUAAGGUCUGCGGGGAAAGGAAGCUUCGGCCUCCGCAUCGGGAUGGGCCCGCGGCGCAUUAGCUUGUUGGUGAGGUAACGGCUCACCAAGGCGACGAUGCGUAGCUGGUCUGAGAGGACGAUCAGCCACACUGGGACUGAGACACGGCCCAGACUCCUACGGGAGGGCAGCAGUGGGGAAUCUUGCGCAAUGCGCGAAAGCGUGACGCAGCAACGCCGCGU